GGCUGCUCAGAAUGCAAGUCGACGCGAAAGUCCCCUUCGGGGGACGAGUAGAGUGGCGCACGGGUGAGUAACACGUAGGUAAUCUACCUUUGGAUGGGGAAUAACAACCGGAAACGGUUGCUAAUACCGCAUAAUGCAGCGGCACCUAAUGGUGACAGUUGUUAAAGCGGGGGAUCGCAAGACCUCGCGUCUAAAGAGGAGCCUGCGGCGGAUUAGCUAGUUGGUAAGGUAAUGGCUUACCAAGGCUACGAUCCGUAACCGGCCUGAGAGGGCGGUCGGUCACACUGACACUGACAUACGGGUCAGACUCCUACGGGAGGCAGCAGUCGGGAAUUUUGGGCAAUGGGCGAAAGCCUGACCCAGCAACGCCGCGUGAAGGAUGAAAUCCCUCGGGAUGUAAACUUCGCAAGAACGGGAAGAAUAAGUAGGGGACAAUACCCCCUAUGAUGACGGUACCGUUUGUAAGCUCCGGCUAACUCCGUGCCAGCAGCCGCGGUAAUACGGGGGGAGCAAGCGUUGUUCGGAUUUACUGGGCGUAAAGGGCGCGUAGGCGGCCAGCGCAAGUCAGUUGUGAAAUCUCCGAGCUUAACUCGGCAAGGUCAACUGAUACUGCGCGGCUAGAGUGCGGAAGGGGCAACUGGAAUUCUCGGUGUAGCGGUGAAAUGCGUAGAUAUCGAGAGGAACACCUGCGGCGAAGGCGGGUUGCUGGGCCGACACUGACGCUGAGGCGCGAAAGCUAGGGGAGCGAACGGGAUUAGAUACCCCGGUAGUCCUAGCCUUAAACGAUGAAUGCUUGGUGUCUGGGGUUAUAUAGUCCCCGGGUGCCGUCGCUAACGCUUUAAGCAUUCCGCCUGGGGAGUACGUUCGCAAGACUGAAACUCAAAGGAAUUGACGGGGACCCGCACAAGCGGUGGAGCAUGUGGUUUAAUUCGACGCAACGCGAAGAACCUUACCUGGGCUAGA
rnacentral:rRNA from 1 species